rnacentral:rRNA from 1 species
AUUGAACGCUGGCGGCAUGCUUUACACAUGCAAGUCGAACGGUAACAGGCCGCCAGGUGCUGCCGAGUGGCGAACGGGAGAGUAAUGCAUCGGAACGUGCCCAGUCGUGGGGGAUAACUACUCGAAAGAGUAGCUAAUACCGCAUACGAUCUAUGGAUGAAAGCGGGGGACCGUAAGGCCUCGCGCGAUUGGAGCGGCCGAUGUCAGAUUAGGUAGUUGGUGGGGUAAAGGCUCACCAAGCCAACGAUCUGUAGCUGGUCUGAGAGGACGACCAGCCACACUGGGACUGAGACACGGCCCAGACUCCUACGGGAGGCAGCAGUGGGGAAUUUUGGACAAUGGGCGCAAGCCUGAUCCAGCAAUGCCGCGUGCAGGAAGAAGGCCUUCGGGUUGUAAACUGCUUUUGUACGGAACGAAACGGCUCUGGUUAAUACCCGGGGCUAAUGACGGUACCGGAAGAAUAAGCACCGGCUAACUACGUG